AGGUUUUCAUGAACAUGCCUUUGGAAUUAUGUGAGUCAAGAGAUGCAAAAGGCCUUUACAAGCUUGCACGUGCAGGAAAGAUUACAGUCUUGCUCAAUAUGAUUACUGGAGUACAAACUUAGUUAUGAUGCGAAGCAUUUGGAGCCAUUAAAACUAAAACCGGUUGACUCAUUGAAGGAAAUCGAAGAGGAAAUGGAUGGAAAGCAUGAUGAAAUAAAGUUGAUUAAGUGCUUGCUCAAAUAUGCAAAAAAAAAAAAAAAAAAAAAAAAAAAAAGAAUUGGAGAAGAUGAUUGUUCUCUUUUUGUAUAAGCUGUUUCAUAGACAAGUUGCCAUUAGUUGAAGGGUUCAACAAUUUAGAAAAUUCUGUUAGCUUGGUUAUUAAGCUUGUUAGAAGUUUAUUUUUUAGGUUGUUAACUCUCAACCGGUUCUGUAGAAAUGGUCAAAAACAUCGGUAUCCUUUGUAAGCUUUCUGAUUAAUUUAGUAAUACAACUCUGAAAGUUCUAUAGAUUUUUUUUC